rnacentral:rRNA from 1 species
AUUGAACGCUGGCGGCAGGCCUAACACAUGCCAGUCGAGCGGAUGAAGGGAGCUUGCUCCUGGAUUCAGCGGCGGACGGGUGAGUAAUGCCUAGGAAUCUGCCUGGUAGUGGGGGAUAACGUCCGGAAACGGGCGCUAAUACCGCAUACGUCCUGAUGGAGAAAGUGGGGGAUCUUCGGACCUCACGCUAUCAGAUGAGCCUAGGUCGGAUUAGCUAGUUGGUGGGGUAAAGGCCUACCAAGGCGACGAUCCGUAACUGGUCUGAGAGGAUGAUCAGUCACACUGGAACUGAGACACGGUCCAGACUCCUACGGGAGGCAGCAGUGGGGAAUAUUGGACAAUGGGCGAAAGCCUGAUCCAGCCAUGCCGCGUGUGUGAAGAAGGUCUUCGGAUUGUAAAGCACUUUAAGUUGGGAGGAAGGGCAGUAAGUUAAUACCUGGCUGUUUUGACGGUACCAACAGAAUAAGCACCGGCUAACUUCGUG